rnacentral:misc_RNA from 1 species
GAUGAAGAACGCAGCGAAAUGCGAUAAGUAAUGUGAAUUGCAGAAUUCAGUGAAUCAUCGAAUCUUUGAACGCACAUUGCGCCCCCUGGCAUUCCGGGGGGCAUGCCUGUUCGAGCGUCAUUACAACCCUCAAGCUCUGCUUGGUAUUGGGCUCUGCUGGGACCGGCAGGCCUUAAAAUCAGUGGCGGCGCCACUCGGCUUCAAGCGUAGUAAUUCUUCUCGCUUUGGAGACCCGGGUGCGUGCUAGCCAGCAACCCCCAACUUUCUUAGGUUGACCUCGGAUCAGGUAGGGAUACCCGCUGAACUUAAGCAUAUCAAUAAGCGGAGGA